ACUCAAAGGAAUAGACGGGGACCCGCACAAGCAGCGGAGCAUGUGGUUUAAUUCGAUGCAACGCGAAGAACCUUACCAGGACUUGACAUCCCUCAGACUAGAUUAGAGAUAAUUUUUUCCCUUCGGGGACUGAGGUGACAGGUGGUGCAUGGUUGUCGUCAGCUCGUGUCGUGAGAUGUUGGGUUAAGUCCCGCAACGAGCGCAACCCCUGUCUUUAGUUGCCAUCAGAUAAGCUGGGCACUCUAAAGAGACUGCCGAUGACAAAUCGGAGGAAGGUGGGGAUGACGUCAAAUCAUCAUGCCCUUUAUGUCCUGGGCUACACACGUGCUACAAUGGUCGGUACAGUGGGUUGCCACUUAGCAAUAAGGAGCUAAUCCCAUAAAGCCGAUCCCAGUUCGGAUUGCAGGCUGCAAUUCGCCUGCAUGAAGCCGGAGUUGCUAGUAAUCGUGGAUCAGAAUGCCACGGUGAAUGCGUUCCCGGGUCUUGCACACACCGCCCGU
rnacentral:rRNA from 1 species